AACGUAGGUGGCGAGCGUUAUCCGGAAUUACUGGGCGUAAAGGGCGCGUAGGCGGCCUACUAAGUCGGACGUGAAAUCCCUCGGCUCAACCGGGGAACUGCGUCCGAUACUGGUGGGCUCGAAUCCGGGAGAGGGAUGUGGAAUUCCAGGUGUAGCGGUGAAAUGCGUAGAUAUCUGGAGGAACACCGGUGGCGAAGGCGGCAUCCUGGACCGGUAUUGACGCUGAUGCGCGAAAGCCAGGGGAGCAAACGGG
rnacentral:rRNA from 1 species